rnacentral:tRNA from 1 species
GGAAUAUAGCUCAAUUGGUAGAGUGCUUGUCUCUCAUGCACAAGACCCUAGGUUCCAUUCCCAGCACCA